AGACCCCUGGGCUAACAGCCCAAGGGAUGCACCUCAAUGACCCCCACUGGUGUCCGUAUCAGCAUGCCUGGACCAGCUCAGAACAAUGGUCCCCACCAAUGUCUCAGUCUCCGGAGGGGACCCUCUUCUCACCAAGAUGCCCUCAGAGCCCACCAGAUCUUCACUUUGAGAACCUGGUGAAUUUCCACACAAGGAUGAGGAGCCCGCCUGUGACUGCAGCCACCCGGAGUUUCUCACCCUCAAGGUAUUCUGCACUUAGCUUUCAGAAAUUUGCCAAAAUAAUCAUUUAAGUGUGCCUACCAGAUUAUGGAUUUCAGUGACUUUUGUUCCAGGUGGGAGAACAAGAAAUCCCAGAGGGACAGAGGGUCUGUUACCUUCGCUUUCUUGCUGAACUUCCACAUUGGAAAGAAAAUCACCUAAGAGAACCAUCUCUUCCCAGCUCUGCCUAGGCCUGGUAGAACUGCUCUGAGGGUGUUUCCUUGGGCUUGAAGCUACCACAUGUGACAGACGCAGCUGCAAUGGGGGAU
rnacentral:lncRNA from 1 species